UGGAACUUCCGGUUGAACUGCCACGUAAUGCACGUAGCAGCUUACGUCACGUUAGCGUCCUGUCUCCAUAGCAACAUUGCGAUACGUCCGAGACACAGAAACGAACAGGUACCAUGUCCUCCCCCAGGCUUGGUGUGAUGAGAGACUCCAUGCUGACCAACCCGCUGCACAUCAAGGCCUCUCUGGGUCGGUCCGUCUCCAGAGGGUUUUCAGUUCCUGGUCCAGAUUUCACUUUUGGGAUGAGCAACGACUCAACUGACGGGGGCGUGGC